rnacentral:rRNA from 1 species
GACGAACGCUGGCGGCGUGCUUAACACAUGCAAGUCGAACGGAAAGGUUCCAGCUUGCUGGAGUACUCGAUUGGCGAACGGGUGAGUAUCACGCGGGUAAUCUGCCCUGCACUCAGGGAUAAGCCUGGGAAACUGGGUCUAAUACUGGAUAUGACCUUUCUCCUCAUGGGGUUUGGUGGAAAGUGUUUCGUUGUAGGAUGAGUCCGCGGCUUAUCAGCUCGCUGGUGAGGGGAUGGCAUACAAAGGCGACGAGGGGUAGCCGGCCUGAGAGGGUGAUCGGCCACACGGGGACUGCGAUACGGCCCAGACUGCUACGGGAGGCAGCAGUCGGGAAUAUUGCGCAAUGGGCGGACGUCUGUUGCGGCGGCGCCGCGUGAGUAAUGCCGGCCUUCUGGUGGUAAACCUCUGUGAGCGGGACCGAAGCGUACGUGACGGUACCUGCACAAAAAGCACCGGCUAACUAUGUG